UACGUAGGGGGCAAGCGUUAUCCGGAUUUACUGGGUGUAAAGGGAGCGUAGACGGCUCUGCAAGUCUGAAGUGAAAGCCCGGGGCUCAACCCCGGGACUGCUUUGGAAACUGUGGAGCUAGAGUGCAGGAGAGGUAAGUGGAAUUCCUAGUGUAGCGGUGAAAUGCGUAGAUAUUAGGAGGAACACCAGUGGCGAAGGCGGCUUACUGGACUGUAACUGACGUUGAGGCUCGACAGCGUGGGGAGCAAACAGG
rnacentral:rRNA from 1 species